rnacentral:rRNA from 1 species
AAUAUUGCGCAAUGGGGGAAACCCUGACGCAGCGACGCCGCGUGAGCGAAGAAGGCCUUAGGGUCGUAAAGCUCUGUUAUAAGGGACGAAGGUUACCAUGGUUAAUACCCGUGGUAAGUGACGGUACCUUAUGAGUAAGCCCCGGCUAACUACGUGCCAGCAGCCGCGGUAAGACGUAGGGGGCGAGCGUUGUCCGGAAUUACUGGGCGUAAAGAGCACGUAGGCGGGAAUAUAAGUCAGGUGUGAAAUACCAGUGCUUAACACUGGAAUUGCAUUUGAAACUGUGUAGCUUGAGUGCAGGAGAGGAAAGUGGAAUUCCUAGUGUAGCGGUGAAAUGCGUAGAGAUUAGGAGGAACACCAGUGGCGAAGGCGACUUUCUGGACUGUAACUGACGCUGAGGUACGAAAGCUAGGGGAGCAAACA